UGGGAACCUGCCUUUAGGUUCGGAAUAACUCCCCGAAAGGGGUGCUAAUACCGAAUAAUGUCUUCGGACCAAAGAUUUAUCGCCUUUAGAUGGGCCCGCGUUGGAUUAGCUAGUUGGUGGGGUAAAGGCCUACCAAGGCGACGAUCCAUAGCUGGUCUUAGAGGAUGAUCAGCCACACUGGGACUGAGACACGGCCCAGACUCCUACGGGAGGCAG
rnacentral:rRNA from 1 species